AUAAUUAAAAACCUAAAUAUUUGUUUCACUCUAUACUCUCAGCAUUAUCAGACCCCUCCCUUCCUCCCCUCACCAUGGAAUACAUUCUGAGAAAGCUGCCCUGUUAUUGGUUAAAUAUGCUGUCAGUCACAUGGCAUGAAAAGUACUGCCUCUGCUCUGUUUGCAUUUAUGAAUUAACAGAUGUGCUUGCUUUGAAGAAACUGAUUCUUUUCUUGAUGGGAAAAAAAAUCUUGUUUAGUUUUUCACUGAUUUUUUUAGGUAUAGGACUUUCACUAACCUUGGACCAUAUAUUUGCCAGGAAGAAUGUAAGUUCUCCAACAUCUUCAAAUAAAGAAGUGGUUAUGAGGAAUGAUCAGAAUAAUGGAGAUAUGAAACCAUUCCAGAAUUUCACAACAAUACCAAUCACACAGGCUCUCAACUACAAUCUGAGCAAAGAAGGGCAUUUAGAAAAAGAACCUUGGAAUGCAUUCAGCCAUCAUGGCCCAGUUAAUGUCUCCAUCAAUGGAAUUCCUUGCAUUCUCUUCUGGGCCAAAAGAAUAAUGAUUAAAUUUAAGAAUCAAACCUGGCUGGACCUUACAGACGAGCCAUUUGGUCAGAAGGUAACUGUGGACCCUGACAACUCAAAUUGCAGUGAAGAAAGUGCUAGGUUGUCUUUGAAGCUUGGUGAUGCUGGAAACCCCAGAAGUCUUGCUAUAAGAUUCAUCCUUACCAAUUACAACAAGUUGUCCAUCCAGAGUUGGUUUAGUUUGCGCCGAGUCGAGAUCAUUUCCAACAAUUCAAUCCAAGCAGUCUUUAACCCAACUGGCGUAUAUGCUCCCUCUGGUUACUCCUACCGCUGCCAACGCGUGGGCAGCCUGCAGCAGGACCAGGCCCUCUUGCUGCCCAGCGACACGGAUGAUGGGUCGAGCCUGUGGGAGGUCACUUUUAUUGAUUUCCAGGCACUUGGACUAGUACCCUGCAUGAAAGUUCAUUUCAAGGCAAACAGAACAAUAUUCUUGGAAUGGGAGGAAGAAUCUUCGAGUUUGAACAGAGUUGGGGUCUCCCAAAGUUGCCAAUGCUGGUCUCCAACUCCUGGCUUCAGGUGAUCCUCCCACGUCAGCCUCCCAAAGGGUUGGGAUUACAGGCAUGAGCCACCAUGCCCAGCCCAGAUGAUUCUUAUAAGAUGAGACAUGGGACUUGAAUGCUGCUAUUGGUGCACAUUUCUGCAGACGUGUCUCUGGCUCUCAGGAUGCAGAAUGUUGGUAGGUCCAGUGUGGGGGAUGCUAAAGGCGGUGUCAUGUGCUCUGUGGAUUUUUGUGUGAGUAUAAUGGUCCCAUUUGAAGUUUUCCUGUUUGUUGCAGUAAAACCUCUCUUCAGUGUCUGUUACCUUUCUCUAUAUUCUUGGUGAAGGAGAGAGAUAGUAAUAAGGGGCCUGAAUGAGGUAAGAAGAGCAGAUGCUGUUCUCUGCUUCCUCCCUGCCACCAACAUUCCUUCUGCCCUGUUUUUCCUGGCCAUCUGUGCUCUGGGCAGUCCAAGCCUGUGAACCAGCCACACCCAGGAUCUGUGGUGGAGCUCAGUCCCAGAUUGUUCUGGAAGAGUCGCCCAGAGGAGCCGUGUGGUCUCCCAUUCAGCAACAGAGUACGGGAUGGUCUCUCUGAAGGGCAGAGGGUCUGAGCACUGUCCCCUUCAUGGCAUCUAAGGCUGAAAUGCUGAAUGAUGCAAUGAGAGGAUUCCAGGGGAGAAAAGGAGCUGUACAUGGGCUUGAUUCUUCCCUCCCCAGCUGGUGGACACAGCACCGAGGUGGAGCUGGAGGGCCCUCCACUGACCCACAUGCACUCCACUUUGCAGCUGUGCCCUGGGACACACUUAUAAUCUCAAAGUGUUAUGAAUUCCAACCACUGGAUUCUACCCUACUUCUGACAUAAUCUUCUUGGGUUGAUAGUAGCCUGUCUCAUUACCGAAUAUUUCUUCUUAUGGGUAGCCCUGGUUAGUCAUUUUCUUUGAACUUUUUGUUUAAAGAAGACCUGUAGAUAUGAGCUUUUUGUCAGAGAUGAUCUCUCCAGGCCUGAGUCUAAACUGUUAACCCUCUCUCAGAGAAUGAGUGCUGGCUCUUGAAUUUCAGGCGCUUUGACAUUUACUGAGGGAAAGAAGGAGAAUGGAAGCAGUGAGCAUAAAGCGCUGACCUGAGUGGAAUGGCAGGUCGACUUGCCGGAGCCCCGAGAUGAUUACACUCUCCCAGCUCUAGGGCAAGCUGUCCAAUUUCCCAAAAACCAAUUUGACAAUUGUCGAGUGACCAAUUUGCUGAAUUAGAAGAAUUUACUAAUUUACCAAAUUGCUUAUUUCUUUUAUGCAUUUCUAAAGACUUGAGCAAUUGGCAUGGGCUGGGUUGGCAGGGCCUGAAAGGGUUUGGAGCAAUGAGUCAGAAGCAAUGGUCUCUGGGAACAACCCUGUAGGUGGCGCCACUCUCCGGACAGAGAGGGGCAGUGGGUGGAUGGUGGAGAGUUAGGGGAGGCUUCGCUGCAGAGAUCCGAGCCUUGCUGACUCUUCAGUUCUUGUUUUUAAAGCAAUCCUUAUUUUUGACCAUCUUUUUUUCUUAAAAGUCAGUCAGCUCACCACUUUUGGAUUCUUCCUUGGCUUCCUGGCCGUACAUACUUCCCAUCCUCACGCUGCCUCACUUGUUUGGCUCUUCAUCUCUCUCCUUCUCCUCCUUCACCCUGGAGCAACACCGGAGGCCUCUCAUGUCCUCCCGUGGAGAAGGGGGAGAACAGCACAGCCCUUGCCUUACUAUUUUGUUCUUACGACCCUCAGACCUUCAGGGGCUCACUUUCUCCCACAGCACUGUAGCCAAAGAAAGGUUUCUUUCCUAAGAGGGAUUAUGGUGUCAGCUCUUCAAAUACCAUUAAAUUUUUAUUUUCUACACAUAAACACAUUCUUAUGGUUUUGGGAAAUGGAAGCAGUAUAAAACCAAAAUUUUUUGCAUACUCAGUGUGAUAGCCUUCAUAUAUUAGGCAUUCAAUGAAUAUUUUAGUGAUUAACAAAUGGGUGGUUUUUAUAAUGAACCUCACCCUGUUAUAACCAAAUACUCGUGUCAGAGAAACUAGCUUGCUUUUAUAUCAAGAUUAUGGCCCUGGAUUUUGAUAACGCCACAGAAAUAUUGUCAAACGUUGUUCACUCGGCUCUGCUCUUUCCAAGUUGAGGUGAGCUAAGGGAGCCAACCAAAGUAAGGUUGGUUUCCUGCUCCUUUCCCCCCCCCACUUAACCCUUUGCUUAAAAAGCUCUCCGAGGCCAUAAACUACUAGGACACAACUCCCUAUUAAUUAGCCAUUUAUAACUAUGUUUCUGUUGAUUUUUUGGACCAAUAAUUAAUUUGAUAGGGUUAUAGGAAGUCCUAUGCUCCUGUAACUGAGAAGACACUGUCUAAGUGUGGGUCCAGAUUGAGGAGGUCCUUUGGGGUCUGUUGCUUCUAUCAUUGGCCUGACCCACGCUGACUCUCAAAUUCAGACCUCUCAGAAAAAGGAAGAAAGGCUUCAUCCGCAGUGGGCAUUAAAAAAAACCAUAAACAUCUAUUCAUGGUCUUGGAAUUGAAUCUUAAGGCAAAGCAGGAUCUCAGGUAAGAUUGACAGAUGAUGAACUGGCAGCCCACACCCCAUUCCUGUUGAUAUGUUCUACCUCUUUCUAUUACUGGGGUGUGAUUACUUCAAAGCCAGGAAGAGCUGCAAUCUAAUUUUAGAAGAAUGCCCUUCUUGUACACAUUGGUGAGUAUAUAUCUUAAUAUAUGAUGUAUAUAUCUAUAUAAUUUUAGUAGUUGUAUAAUAAAAAUUGGGAUAGGUAAACAAAAGAGAGCAGCUGAAAAGUCUACCUAUAAAGGCUUCAGGUUAACAUUGUUACUUAUAUUGCUUCUACCACAAAUCUGUGGGGAUGAUUUUUAUUUGUUGGGAAGGGUUGUCUCUGAAUUUCCUGUAAAGUUUGGCAUUUUAAAUCUUUUUUUUGACUCUUCUCCUGUUAAAUAUAUAUCUUGGAAACUUGGCUGUUUCUGGUUCCUGAGCUUCACAGUGAACCAACAAACCAGCAGUAACUGUAAUCCACCCUUAAAAUUUAAUCCCUUGGGACAGUCCAUCUCAAUGGCAGAAUAAGAAACACUCUCCUGGCAGAAUAAGGGUGAAGAUAAGCCUAUUCCUGUACUUAUCUGGGAGCACAUGUAGGUAUGAGUAAUAAGACCAAGAGCUGCCAAGGGUGAAGGAAGAUGUAGGAGCCCAUGGAUUGCAUGAGGGAAAUAUGGAUCCUGUGAAGGGCAAGUUGGUUUCUUUGUGUGGACGACCCAGAUAAAGCAAUGAAAAUGGAUAAUAAGGACAGUAAGGACAAGUGCCUUCCAAGGCAUUAAGGCAAAUGAGAUUGUAGCAUGGAUACAGAAGAGAAAGGAGAAAGAGAAAAAGUAGAUGGAAAAGUAAAUGACUCAAACCUUCCAUUACUGAAAGUUCCAAAUGUUUCUUUAAUGGCAAUCACCAGAUUGUAGGCCUUCAUUUUUCACCGGUCAGCAUUCCCUCAUCUUCUUUCUGUUCAUAACAAAAGUGAGUUCCUCUUCUGACCACUAGAGGUCUCUAGAGAAUCACGGAUCAACAUCUGAAGCCUCAUACCCUCUUGCUAUCAGCCACUCUAGGAGGUGGAAAUGUUUAUUUUUCCAACAUGAAUAGUCAGUCACAUAGUCACAAGAGAUCCGAGGCCUGAGUCUUAAAUUUCU